GAUGAAGAACGUAGUGAAAUGCGAUACUUGGUGUGAAUUGCAGAAUCCCGUGAACCAUCGAGUCUUUGAACGCAAGUUGCGCCCGAAGCCUCGGCUAAGGGCACGUCUGCCUGGGCGUCACGCAUCGCGUCUCCCCCAAACCGCCAAGGCGGAGGGGAAGGAAGAUGGCUUCCCGUGCCUCACCCGGGCGCGGUUGGCCUGAAUUUGGAGCCCGCGGCACUUAGCUCUCGCGGCGAUAGGUGGUGAACAAGGCCUUGGCCGUGCAAACAACCCGCUGCGAAGCUCUAUGUCACGUGCGCUCGUCGGACCCUUUGAAGUUGCCUUUGGUGACUUAAAACCUUUGCGACCCCAGGUCAGGCGGGGCUACCCGCUGAAUUUAAGCAUAUCAAUAAGCGGAGGA
rnacentral:misc_RNA from 1 species